ACCCGUGUGGCUCAGUUGGUAGAGCAUGGUGUUUGCAACGCCAGAGUUCUGGGUUCAAUUCCCACGGGGG
rnacentral:tRNA from 1 species